rnacentral:rRNA from 1 species
GAGCUCGUAGGUGGUUUGUCGCGUUGUUCGUGAAAACUCACAGCUUAACUGUGGGCGUGCGGGCGAUACGGGCAGACUAGAGUACUGCAGGGGAGACUGGAAUUCCUGGUGUAGCGGUGGAAUGCGCAGAUAUCAGGAGGAACACCGGUGGCGAAGGCGGGUCUCUGGGCAGUAACUGACGCUGAGGAGCGAAAGCGUGGGGAGCGAACAGGAUUAGAUACCCUGGUAGUCCACGCCGUAAACGGUGGGUACUAGGUGUGGGUUUCCUUCCUUGGGAUCCGUGCCGUAGCUAACGCAUUAAGUACCCCGCCUGGGGAGUACGGCCGCAAGGCUAAAACUCAAAGAAAUUGACGGGGGCCCGCACAAGCGGCGGAGCAUGUGGAUUAAUUCGAUGCAACGCGAAGAACCUUACCUGGGUUUGACAUGCACAGGACGCCAGUAGAGAUAUUGGUUCCCUUGUGGCCUGUGUGCAGGUGGUGCAUGGCUGUCGUCAGCUCGUGUCGUGAGAUGUUGGGUUAAGUCCCGCAACGAGCGCAACCCUUAUCUUAUGUUGCCAGCGCGUAAUGGCGGGGACUCGUGAGAGACUGCCGGGGUCAACUCGGAGGAAGGUGGGGAUGACGUCAAGUCAUCAUGCCCCUUAUGUCCAGGGCUUCACACAUGCUACAAUGGCCGGUACAAAGGGCUGCGAUGCCGUGAGGUGGAGCGAAUCCUUUCAAAGCCGGUCUCAGUUCGGAUCGGGGUCUGCAACUCGACCCCGUGAAGUCGGAGUCGCUAGUAAUCGCAGAUCAGCAACGCUGCGGUGAAUACGUUCCCGGGCCUUGUACACACCGCCCGUCACGUCAUGAAAGUCGGUAACACCCGAAGCCGGUGGCCUAACCCUUGUGGAGGGAGCCGUCGAAG